rnacentral:rRNA from 1 species
UGGGGAAUAUUGGACAAUGGGCGAAAGCCUGAUCCAGCCAUGCCGCGAGUGUGAAGAAGGUCUUCGGAUUGUAAAGCACUUUAAGUUGGGAGGAAGGGCAUUAACCUAAUACGUUAGUGUUUUGACGUUACCGACAGAAUAAGCACCGGCUAACUCUGUGCCAGCAGCCGCGGUAAUACAGAGGGUGCAAGCGUUAAUCGGAAUUACUGGGCGUAAAGCGCGCGUAGGUGGUUUGUUAAGUUGGAUGUGAAAUCCCCGGGCUCAACCUGGGAACUGCAUUCAAAACUGACUGACUAGAGUAUGGUAGAGGGUGGUGGAAUUUCCUGUGUAGCGGUGAAAUGCGUAGAUAUAGGAAGGAACACCAGUGGCGAAGGCGACCACCUGGACUAAUACUGACACUGAGGUGCGAAAGCGUGGGGAGCAAACA